CUUCGCAGACAGCGAAAACAAUUUUAUAGGGUUGCAAAACAGCAUUGAUAUGCGAUCUAAACUCUUCUUUGAAACAACUGCGCUGAGAAUUUUCUUGGAUUUCACAGUAUAUUGGAGUCAAAUGAUUCUAAUGAUAGCCAUUGCUUUUGAGCGGUACAUUCUAAUUGCACGAGGCGUAGAAUCAGCCGCCAUUUGGACAACUAAACGUCGAUUAGCUCUGUAUUUAUCAGUUGGUAUUGUUUGCACUAUAAUACCUGCUUUGUUCUUUCUCGAUUUCUGGUUCAAUAAAAACUGGCCUUCAUGGAAACCAUGGAGUCCAAAAGACUUCCAGUGCAAGGAUUGUCUACGCAACCAUGUCAAAUUUUUAGAACCAUAUUUUCGCUUAGUUAUCAAUAUUGCCGUCGUAGCUUCAAGCGGCUUUCUAUAUUAUCGAAGCUCGAUCGCUCUGAAAGCGUCCAGUGUUACAAGAAGUGGCCUGCUAAACAAAGCGUUUGUUACUAUUUUGAUCAGUUGGGUUAUUCUGGUUUGGCCUCAUAUUCUAUUCAUGGACUUCAAAAUGAAAGGUGAGCCUGAAACGUUUGCAGAGGCGAUUGAAUUGGUUGAUUAUUCAGCUGUUACUUACAUAACCUUUAAUCUUAAUUUGUUUGACGGUUCAUUGAAAAAACUUAAGAAGUCACAGGAGAUAGCAAUGCGAACUGAUACUGUAUUGCGCGGCUUCAGACUUAGUUUCGGUUUUGUAAACUCUUUGAUUGUUUUUGUCAUGAUGAAGCCGUUUCAGGAACCAGUUUUAAAAGCAAAAAAUUGGUUGAACUCUAAAUUCCAGUCAAAAUUUCGUCAAUAGAGUUUCAAAAUAAAUCGUUGCAGUUGCCAUGAAACCUUUCAAUGUAUAAUUUGU